AAAACGGUCUUUAUCAAGACCACCUCUUUCAAACAAAGCUUGUGAG
rnacentral:ncRNA from 1 species